rnacentral:rRNA from 1 species
AUGUCCAACUCGGCAGCAUCUACAGAGGAUAAUCAACUUCUCACAGUCCAUGGAAGACAAUUUUUUGCAACCGAUCGACAGCUCAUGGAAUACCACAUGUUACAAGGCAGCAACCUGGAUUACCAUACAAUACUGCCUCGUCGUAAGCAGCCUCUCCAGAUCUAUCUCCAAGACGUGCCUUCUCCACAGACAACCCCUCCUCGGAUUCUUGCAAUCAAGAGAUUGAUAUUACUGAACAAAACACAUCCAAAUCUAUUCUAUGUGGAGAGAAAGAAACAUGUACCUUUUAUUCUGGCUUGUUACUCUGGAUAG